AAUCAGACUCAAGUUUUCCUCUCCUUCGUGCCACGUAAAGCCAUUGAGCUCACUGGCAUUGUGAUGGCACACAUUAUGUUUAGUGGGAAGGUUCUGCAGUGGUGCUCAGGUAGCAGGAGCGUGCCUUCCAGGGAACUGCUGGCUCCUCUCAGCCCAGCAUCCCUACCAUGGCAUGGGGAAGCUUAGCCCAGAGGGACUCCCAGCCCAGUAGAUCCUACUGGUCCUACUGGCCCAGCACCAGGGCCAUCCUAUCUCUCAUCUCUUGCUUGGGAUAACAGCAAAGAAAGGCUUGAGAUGAAGCUAUCCAGAUCAUGAGGUGCUCAACUAUGACCCAACUGGAAAGAUCAUCAGGGUUCAGACCAGACUUCUACUGAUGUCUUUCAAUGAUAGGAUCUCCAGAGCCUUCCCAGUGGUUACCCAGCGGCUUCCAUCCACCCAGCACAGUGACAAUGUGCCCUACCCACAGACACACACUCACCCAGGACUUCUGCAGCAUGCAGGGAGUUGAGAAAGAAAAGGCAGAAAUAAACCCUUUAAGCUGGA